rnacentral:misc_RNA from 1 species
UGGAGUUUUGUAACUCAAGUUAUGACAUUUUUACUAUAACUGGCCGGAUUGGUCAGUGUCCAGAUUUUUCUGGGCAGUUUGGUUCUCACAGUUUUGAUGGAUUAAAUUUGGUUAGCAAUUUGAUUAGGUUAUUGUCAGAAUUUGGGUUGCUAUUCUUCAUGUAAAUUGUUAUACUAUAUCUAAUGUUUCCAUAGGUUCAAGAAUCAAGUCAUUUGGACCUCUCUACACAAA